rnacentral:rRNA from 1 species
GAUAAACGCUGGCGGCGCACAUAAGACAUGCAAGUUGAACGGACUUAAUCGAAAUAUUUAUAUUUUGAAGCGGUUAGUGGCGGACUGGUGAGUAACGCGUAAGGAACCUGCCUAUUAGAGGGGAAUAACAGUGAGAAAUCAUUGCUAAUACCGCAUAUGCCAUAGAUAUCACAUGAUAACAGUGGGAAAGGAGCAAUCCGCUAAUAGAUGGCCUUGCGUCUGAUUAGAUAGUUGGUGGGGUAACGGCCUACCAAGUCGACGAUCAGUAGCCGGACUGAGAGGUUGAACGGCCACAUUGGGACUGAGAUACGGCACAGACCCCUACGGGAGGCAGCAGUCGGGAAUAUUGCGCAAUGGAGGAAACUCUGACGCAGUGACGCCGCGUAUAGGAAGAAGGUUUUCGGAUUGUAAACUAUUGUCGUUAGGGAAGAGAAAGGACAGUACCUAAGGAGGAAGCUCCGGCUAACUACGUG